GCCAAAGCGGCGGAUGUCCACAAAGCAGAGGGCCAGUCGGGGACCGGGUGGAGCUGUGUAAAAGCGCAGGUGGGCAUGGGGUGGCAGCGCAUCACCAGGUGCCAGCUGGAAGGAGCCAGACAUGCCAAAGUGGAAGGUUCCCCUCAUUCACUUGCUCCAAGAACCGUGCUCUUCCCAUCGUCAUGCCUUCACACCCGCUGUCCCAUCAGUCUGGGACACUUGAGAGAGGCCCUUCCUGACCACCUCAUCCAAGGACUGAGGGAAUGGACCUGACCCCGUCUGGGAGAGAGCUGGGAAAACGGAGGCUCGGAGGCUCAGCUAGCAGUGAGGACACGCCUGCCACCAUCCACUGGUCAGGGCCGAGGACGAGGGAAGGAAGGCAGGUGUCCCCAGGUACAUCUGCGGAAGCCAAGUCCACAGGGCUCCGAGGAAGGGCUCCCGGAGCUCUAGGCAAGCAUGGUCCAGGGAGCUAGGAAAGGCCCAUUCAGUGUCUUGGGCACACCACACUUCCUCACCCUUGCCCCCUCCAACUUUCUUCUACCCCAGGACACUGCGUGAUGGAAGGUGAAAGUAUGUGGGGGUCAGAGUGGAGCAUUUAGCCAGGGCACACUCCUUUGUCCUGGCUCCCCCACCUCAGCGCUGACCAGGGCCUGGCACCUGAAAGGGUUCGUUUCGUGGGAAGAGAUGAUCGUCCAGAUACCUAAUUUCUCGAGGGAGGGGUGCCCUAGGGUUCACCUCCCAUCCCCCGACCGCUGGGGCCUGUCCUCGGUUAGCCCUUGCUCCCUUCCUCCCCAAGACCCCCAAAUACCAUCCUCUCCUCAAUUCUGCUGCCCCCAGUCCCAGUGUACCUGCGUCCAGAGCAGCUCCCGGCUGGGC